GGCGGCCGGGGGCCCCGGCGGCGUCGGCGGACCAGCAGGAGGAGGAUGCGGGGAGGGGCAGCACGAGCGGGUGGUCGCGCUCCGCGAGAUCAAGAACCAGACCUUCGGGAACCAGACCAAGAAGCUCCUCUACCUCCGCCUGGGUGCCGUGUUAGCGGUCGUCACGGCGCGUCACCAGCCAUGCUCGUCCAUGAGCGGCCGCGGCGGAGUACUUUGCUUGCGGCGUAGACGAUGGCGCGCAUGCCGUGCUUGCUGCUGGAGCCGUGGGGCACCUCCUCGCCCACCCCGACAACAAGGAUUCGCAGUGGCACCGCCGCAGCCAGCGAGGACACAAGCUCACGAGGAUUGUUGCCGCUUCGGAGGACAUGGGAGCUGCCAUAGCCAGCGAGUACGUGAGCGCACGUAGGCACCAUCGCUUUCGAGGAUGCGAGAGCCAUCUCAGCUUGAGAGAAUGCGCAUACCAUCUCCAGUGUGUGCAACAAGUGUUCCUCUAAACGUCUGAGCGUAAAGACUACUCAUGGGUGAUGCUUCUGUGACCAGACCUCUAUAAAAUCACAAGAUAGUUUCAGUGUUGUUGUUCUCAAUCAUGUUACCCUUAAGUGCAAGACAUCAAUUUGCUCUUAAGUAAAAGGGAAAUUUGAGCAGGAAAGGUAAGCAAUUCGAAGCAAGCUCCCGAGAUAAAUUUUCUUUUGGUUUAGCUAACGAAUGCCUUGGUAUAGGUCUAAUCUCUCCUUCCUAGAGAUGGUUCUUUCUUAUU